rnacentral:rRNA from 1 species
UACGAAGGGGGGCUAGCGUUGUUCGGAAUUACUGGGCGUAAAGCGCACGUAGGCGGAAUGUUAAGUCAGGGGUGAAAUCCCGGGGCUCAACCCCGGAACUGCCUUUGAUACUGGCAUUCUCGAGUCCGGAAGAGGUGAGUGGAAUUCCGAGUGUAGAGGUGAAAUUCGUAGAUAUUCGGAGGAACACCAGUGGCGAAGGCGGCUCACUGGUCCGGUACUGACGCUGAGGUGCGAAAGCGUGGGGAUCAAACAGG